rnacentral:rRNA from 1 species
UACAGAGGCCUCGAGCGUUAAUCGGAAUCACUGGGCUUAAAGGGUGCGUAGGCGGCGCUGCAAGUGCCUUGUGAAAUCCCAUCGCUUAACGAUGGAACUGCUCGGUAGACUGCAGUGCUUGAGGUUGGUAGGGGCUGCCGGAACUCUAGGUGGAGCGGUGAAAUGCGUAGAUAUCUAGAGGAACGCCCAAGGCGAAGGCAGGCAGCUGGGCCAAUUCUGACGCUGAGGCACGAAAGUGUGGGGAUCAAACAGG